rnacentral:rRNA from 1 species
UACGAAGGGGGCUAGCGUUGCUCGGAAUCACUGGGCGUAAAGGGUGCGUAGGCGGGUCUUUAAGUCAGCUGUGAAAUCUCCGAGCUUAACUCGGAACGGUCAGCUGAUACUGAUCUGCUAGAGUGCGGAAGGGGCAAUCGGAAUUCUUGGUGUAGCGGUGAAAUGCGUAGAUAUCAAGAGGAACACCUGAGGUGAAGACGGGUUGCUGGGCCGACACUGACGCUGAGUGCGCGAAAGCCAGGGGAGCAAACGGG